CCUACGGGACGCAGCAGUGGGGGAUAUUGCACAAUGGGGGGAACCCUGAUGCAGCGACGCCGCGUGGGUGAAGGAGCGUUUCGGCGCGUAAAGCCCUAUCGGCAGGGAAGAAGGGGGACGGUACCUGACUAAGAAGCCCCGGCUAACUACGUGCCAGCAGCCGCGGUAAUACGUAGGGGGCAAGCGUUAUCCGGAUUUACUGGGUGUAAAGGGGGCGCAGACGGCAGCGCAAGCCAGGAGUGAAAGCCCUGGGCCCAACCCCGGGACGGCUCUUGGAACUGCGCGGUUG
rnacentral:rRNA from 1 species